rnacentral:tRNA from 1 species
AUAAAGGUGGCAGAAAAAUGCAUUAGGUUUAGGACCUAAAUAUGAAAAUUAAUAUAUUUUCUCUUUAUA